AGCUCCAAUAGCGUAUAUUAAAGUUGUUGCAGUUAAAAAGCUCGUAGUUGGAUUUCGGGACGGAUCGGUUGGUCGGCCGCAAGGUCUGUUACUGACCGGUCUGUUCUUCUUCGCAAAGCCUGCUCGUGCUCUUCAUUGAGUGCGUGUAGGAUUUACGACGUUUACUUUGAAAAAAUUAGAGUGUUCAAGGCAGGCUUUGAGGCUUGAAUACAUGAGCAUGGAAUAAUGGAAUAGGACCUCGGUCCCUAUUUCGUUGGUUUUACGGACCGAAGUAAUGAUUAAGAGGGACAAUUGGGGGCAUCCGUAUUUCGUAGUCAGAGGUGAAAUUCUUGGACCUACGAAAGACGAACAACUGCGAAAGCAUUUGCCAAGAGUGUUUUCAUUAAUCAAGAACGAAAGU
rnacentral:rRNA from 1 species